rnacentral:rRNA from 1 species
CGCGUACACAACCUACCUAUAAGAGGUGAAUACCCUUUGGAAACGGAGAAUAAUACACCAUAGUAUUAACUGAUAGAUAAUUGGUUAAUUAAAGUUUCGGCGCUUAUAGAUGGGUGUGCGUACUAUUAGCUAGUUGGUAAGGUAACGGCUUACCAAGGCUACGAUAGUUAGGGGGCGUGAGAGCGUGAUCCCCCACAUGGGUACUGAGACACGGACCCAACUCCUACGGGAGGCAGCAGUAAGGAAUAUUGGACAAUGGGCGGAAGCCUGAUCCAGCCAUCCCGCGUGUAGGAAGACUGC